UUACAUGAACAGCUCUAUGCCCUGGAAUUCCACAACCUGGAUGACAUGUAUCUAUAAAGUGUUUUGUUACAUUUUAUUUUGGAACUACCUUCAACUGGUUUGGUAUCAAGGUAAUACUGGCGGUUUCCUCAUAAACCCUCAUAAAAAUAAGUUGAGAAGUGUCUCUCCUCUUCUGUUUUCUGAAAGAUAUUGUAUAGAGCAGCCUAGCUAUACCAGUUAAAAGAUCAGGAUUGUUAGAGAAUAUUAAAGAAAAAAAAAACAAGACCCAACUAACUAUAUGUUACCUAAAAAGCCUACUUUAAACACUGAUCAUAAGAAACCUGGAGUGAUUAUAUUAAUCUCAGAGAAAGCAGACUUAAAAAAAUUUUUUUUAGUUGUACAUGGACACAAUACUUUUAUUUUACUUAUUUAUUUUUAUGUGCUGCUGAGGAUCGAACCUAGUGCCUCAAUCACAUGCUAGGUAAGGGUGCUACCACUGAGCUACAACCACAGCCCUGCAAAGCAGACUUUAGAACAAGGAACAUCAGUAGGGAUAAAGUCAUUAAAUGAUAAUAAAGGGAUCCAUUCUCUUAGAAGACAUAACAAUCUUCCAUGCAUAAGCCCUUAUCAAUAGAGUGCCAAAAUGUAUGAGGCAAAAGUUGGUAGAGUUCCAGGGGAGAUAGAGAAAUCCUACUCUAGUGGGAGACUUCAACAACCUUCUUUAUAACUAACUGAUAAAUCAAACAGGCAGAAAAUCAGUAAGAAUAUAGAUGCCUGAUGCUACCAUCAAUCAACUUGAUCUAACAGGCAUUUGUAGAGUAAUUUAACCAAUAAUAGCAGAAUAUACAUUCUUGUCAAGCUCACCUGGAACAUUCUAGAGAACAUAUUCUGGACCAUAAAAUAUACCAGAACAAAUGUGAAAGAAUAGAAAUCAUACAAUGUAUGUUCUCAAGUCACAAUGGAAUCAAACUAAAAACCAAGAUAUUUGUAGAUUAAACACCACAGCACUAAAUUAUACAUAGAUCAAAGAAGAAAUUGCAAGAGAUAUUUUUAAAUAUUUUAAACUAAAUGCAAAUGACACUAUAGUUUAUCCAAUAUGUGGGAUGCAGAAUAAACUAUGCUCAGAGGAAAUUUGGUAUUAAAUGCAUAUAUGUUAGAAAAGAAGAAAGAUCUAAAACUGAUCUGAGCUUUCAAUCUUCUGAGAUUAAAAAAAUAAGAACAAUUUAAGCCUAAAGAAAGAAAAAGAGGGGCUGGGGAUGUGGCUCAAGCGGUAGCGUGCUCGCCUAGCAUGAGUGCGGCCCCGGGUUCGAUCCUCAGCACCACAUAC
rnacentral:lncRNA from 1 species